GGGUCAAUGAUGACAAUGGAAAGUCAUGAACAGGAUGAUGACAUAAAAAUCAUGCUCAAAAGUAAAAGAUCUGUACAAUAAGAACU
ensembl:snoRNA LOC120100293 small nucleolar RNA SNORD115